GCACUGUCAGUAUAAACAUUUUUUUAUACAGACGUCCAAUGAUAGGUUGUUAAGUCAUAAAAUAAGCUUUUAAUUUAAUUAAAAUAAAAAUGAUCAUAAAUGCAUUUGAAUACGUGACAUUCCGUUAUUGGACGUCUGUGUAAAAAUGUUUUACACUGACAAUGC
rnacentral:pre_miRNA from 1 species